CGUUUCCUGGGUUGUACGAAUCGGCUUAACGCCCUUGAGCCUAUGAGUAUACUCCUGGAAAGAGUCUGUGGGUUUGGUGUGCAUGUCCGUGCGUCGGAAAGCCUUAAAAAUCUCGAUUCUUUCCUCCUUGAACCACUGGGUUCAAGGCCUAUAGUCGGUGCGGCAACUUGGGAAACCC
rfam:Marinomonas sp. S3726 contig0014, whole genome shotgun sequence.